rnacentral:rRNA from 1 species
UACGGAGGGUGCAAGCGUUAUCCGGAUUCACUGGGUUUAAAGGGUGCGUAGGCGGGCAGGUAAGUCAGUGGUGAAAUCCUUGAGCUUAACUCGAGAACUGCCAUUGAUACUAUCUGUCUUGAAUAUUGUGGAGGUAAGCGGAAUAUGUCAUGUAGCGGUGAAAUGCUUAGAUAUGACAUAGAACACCUAUUGCGAAGGCAGCUUACUACGCAUAUAUUGACGCUGAGGCACGAAAGUGUGGGGAUCAAACAGG